rnacentral:lncRNA from 1 species
CGCAAAAUAUACUACAACUGUUCCAAUUCUAACUUAUAUUCUUGAUAAGCUUACUUAUGAUCUGACUCGGUCAUCUUAACAAUAUAUAUGUAUGUAGAAUAUUUGCUAAAAUAACGUUGAACAACAUGUAAAUAUUGACCUUAACAACGACGUUGACAACUCGGGAUUAGGAACUGUUUAGUUUAAAAUAUGUCUUGAUUUUUGUGACGAAUAGAUUCCUUAUUUGCCCUCGUUCGUUUUCGUUCAUCAUGAGGCAGUCAUGUUGUCUUUGACUAGGAUGACCGACUUGACAACCAUUACACACAAAGUCUUUCAACUUUUGGCUGCAAAGCGCUCCUGUCUUGUCUAAAUCGCUUUCUCUCUUCCCGCACGG